GAUGAACGCUGGCGGCGUGCCUAAUACAUGCAAGUCGAGCGAACAGACGAGGAGCUUGCUCCUCUGACGUUAGCGGCGGACGGGUGAGUAACACGUCGAUAACCUACCUAUAAGACUGGGAUAACUUCGGGAAACCGGAGCUAAUACCGGAUAAUAUAUUGAACCGCAUGGUUCAAUAGUGAAAGACGGUUUUGCUGUCACUUAUAGAUGGAUCCGCGCCGCAUUAGCUAGUUGGUAAGGUAACGGCUUACCAAGGCGACGAUGCGUAGCCGACCUGAGAGGGUGAUCGGCCACACUGGAACUGAGACACGGUCCAGACUCCUACGGGAGGCAGCAGUAGGGAAUCUUCCGCAAUGGGCGAAAGCCUGACGGAGCAACGCCGCGUGAGUGAUGAAGGUCUUCGGAUCGUAAAACUCUGUUAUUAGGGAAGAACAAAUGUGUAAGUAACUAUGCACGUCUUGACGGUACCUAAUCAGAAAGCCACGGCUAACUACGUG
rnacentral:rRNA from 1 species